CCUGCCUCAGCCUCCUGAGUAGCUGGGAUUACAGGGUAGAAGUGAGUCGCAGGUCUCACCCAUACUCAAUGGGAGGAAUCACAAAAGGACGUGAACACCCGGAGACAGAGAUCAUGGAAGCCACCUUAAAGUCUACCUGCCAUAUACACCAUAUGUGACUGCACACCUCACCUCUUACCUCGCGAAAUCACUUGAGGAGGAAUUCUGUGAUGAAAAUAUAAAUUUGCUGCCAGAGACUUGGUCUUGCUGCAUUACCCAGGCUGG